rnacentral:rRNA from 1 species
UACAGAGGGUGCGAGCGUUGUCCGGAAUCACUGGGCGUAAAGGGCGCGUAGGCGGCUUGAUAAGCGUGCGGUGAAAGCCCGGGGCUCAACCCCGGGUCGGCCGUGCGAACUGUCGAGCUGGAGCACUGUAGAGGCAGGUGGAAUUCCGGGUGUAGCGGUGGAAUGCGUAGAGAUCCGGAAGAACACGGUGGCGAAGGCGGCCUGCUGGGCAGUGGCUGACGCUGAGGCGCGACAGCGUGGGGAGCAAACAGG